GUGCUCACUUCAGCAGAACAUAAGCUAAAACUGGAAUGAUACAGAGAAGAUUAGCAUGAUCCCUGCAAAAGGAAGAAAUGCAAAUUCGUGAAGUGUUCCAUAUUUUU
rnacentral:snRNA from 1 species